UGCCCUGGUAGCUCAACUGGAUAGAGCAGAUCCGUCCUAAGGAUAAGAUUGGGGUUCAAGUCCCCCUCAGGGUAUC
rnacentral:tRNA from 1 species